GACGAACCGUGCGAACGUUAUUCGGAAUCACUGGGCUUAAAGGGUGCGUAGGCUGCGAGGAGGGUGGGGUGUGAAAUCCCUCGGCUCAACCGAGGAAUUGCGCUCCAAACCGCCUUGCUGGAGUGAGACAGAGGUGAGCGGAACUAAUGGUGGAGCGGUGAAAUGCGUUGAUAUCAUUAGGAACACCAGAGGCGAAGGCGGCUCACUGGGUCUCAACUGACGCUGAGGCACGAAAGCGUGGGGAGCAAACAGG
rnacentral:rRNA from 1 species